GAUGAGUGCCACCACUUCUAGGCAACAAGUAAGUAUUUCUUAAAUGCUCCUAUGUCAGUUAAAAAUAAGUUUUAAUUCAAUUAAUUGGGCUGGAUGGAGGGGCACAUGCCUUGGUACUUGGGGGCAGAGGUAUGCAGACCUCUGAGUUUGAGGCAGCUUGGUCUACAUGGUUCCAGGACAGCCAGAGUUACAUAGUAAGACCCUGUCUCAUAAAAAGGGUGUGUGUGUGUUGGGGGGGGGGGUUGGCGAGAUGGCUCAGUGGUUAAGAGCUCACAGGGCCAUAGCAGAGCUUGACUCCUAGCACUUUCGUUGGGCAUCUCACAAUCACUUCCAGUCCAGGGAGUCUGAUGCCUUUGGACUGUAUAGGUACCUGCACUCAGACAUACACAUAAUUUAAGAUAAAAUGAACCUUUAAUUGCAAAACAACCAUUAAGAGUUAGUGAGAUGGCUCAGGUAGUUCAAAAUGCUUGCCACCUCACCUGAAGGAAUACACAUUGAAAGAACUAACUCCUUCAAGCUGUUCUCUGAUAUCCAUGUUGCAUAUGCAUGCCCGCCUCGAUAUAAGUAAAUAAAGUGUAAUUAAAAAAAAAAA
rnacentral:lncRNA from 1 species